rnacentral:rRNA from 1 species
ACGAACGCUGGCGGCGUGCCUAAUACAUGCAAGUCGAGCGGAAUGAUGAAGAAGCUUGCUUCUUCUGAUUUUAGCGGCGGACGGGUGAGUAACACGUGGGCAACCUACCUUGUAGAUUGGGAUAACUCCGGGAAACCGGGGCUAAUACCGAAUAAUCCAUUUUGCUUCAUGGCGAGAUGUUGAAAGACGGUUUCGGCUGUCACUAUAAGAUGGGCCCGCGGCGCAUUAGCUAGUUGGUAGGGUAAUGGCCUACCAAGGCGACGAUGCGUAGCCGACCUGAGAGGGUGAUCGGCCACACUGGGACAGAGACACGGCCCAGACUCCUACGGGAGGCAGCAGUAGGGAAUCUUCCACAAUGGACGAAAGUCUGAUGGAGCAACGCCGCGUGAGUGAAGAAGGUUUUCGGAUCGUAAAACUCUGUUGUAAGGGAAGAACACGUACGAGAGUAACUGCUCGUACCUUGACGGUACCUUAUUAGAAAGCCACGGCUAACUACGUG